rnacentral:lncRNA from 1 species
GUGCCCAGCGGAGGGAACGGCCUAUGCAAAGGAUCUCGUGGUGGGAGAGCAAGUGGGGAGGACACGGUGAUCUACUGGUAGUGCCGGGGAGUGGCCAGGGGCUGAGCCAAGGAAACCAAAGCAAGGAGGGAGGGCACUGGUCCCGCAAGGCCCUCAGCCUGAGGCUUUGAGAAAGACAUUGGGGUACCGUGACCCCUAAACCUGACACAUCCAGUGCUGGCUCCCACCCCAAUGCAAACCACAAGAAAGACUGCCAAGACAAGACCCUGUUGCCCAAGAGGGCCCCAGCCCACACCGGCUGUUGGUGAAGACCUCAAUGUCCCAGGCACCCUACCCAGUGCUGAGGAUGCAGCAGACAAUGAGACCACAUCCCUUCCCUCAAGGAGCUGACACUCUUCUGGGCGGAGCCUGAGAAUUAACAAAUAAAUAUAAAGUCAGUAGAGG